UUAGGGAGACCUAAUCCACUCAGAAAUCGAAAACAAAAAGUGAAUAGAUUUUGAGAUGGUCAUCUCUAGGUCGGUCGCAACUAUUUGUGAAAAGCUUUCAAACUAUGAUUGGUUCGAUAUGGGCUAUUAGCUCAGGUGGUUAGAGCGCACCCCUGAUAAGGGUGAGGUCCCUGGUUCGAGUCCAGGAUGGCCCACCUGAAGGAGUGCUGAGUGUACAGUGCUGAGUGGUGAGUAAAAAACUCUCAACUCAUGACUGGGAACUCAGGACUGAUUAGGGGGGUUUAGCUCAGUUGGUAGAGCGCCUGCUUUGCAAGCAGGAUGUCAGCGGUUCGAGUCCGCUAACCCUCCACCUGAAAAAAGUGAAACAAAAACUGUAAAGAUUCAGCAACAUGGCAUAGCAAUAGCAAUAGCCAGACUGCUGGGUUAGUACCAGCCAGAACCUUGAAAACUGCAUAGAAACGCGAAAAAAAGCAGGCAGACGAAUCUGAGUGCUCAGUGCUGAGUAUUUAGUGGUGAGUGAAGAACUCAAAAUUAAGUAUGAAAGUAUUAGUAGUGAAGAAAAGUUUGCCGUGGUGACACCAAAUGUAUA
rnacentral:tRNA from 1 species